AGAUGGAGCUGGAAAUAAACACACAAAGGAGGAAAACAGUACAGCAGUAGGUGACUAUUAUAUGUGCUCUUAGGUGCUAAAAGAGAGGAAUUAUGAAGAAGUGAAAAGCCGGAGGAACAACAGGAGGAAAGGGGAAUGUUCAACUUCUGGCGAAAGAGAUUAAGAAUGAGAGUCCUGGCCCUACAUCACCUAAGGAAGUGAAACUGCCUGAGCCCCCAAGGAUACUUCAGAAGAGCACAAAAGUGGAAUCCCUAUCUUUCACUAUAGAUAAGGAAUAACUAUGAUGAUGCUAUAAGGCCCGAGGAAACUUCGCAACUGCCACUUGUUGCUUUGCUUUUCAUUCUGUUCCCUCCUUGGGGUUAGUAAUAAAGCCCUGAAGUUAUGGGUAGAGAGAGGAAAGCUCCACAUACUGCUCCACUACAGUCUCUGGGGGAGGGUGGGCACAGGAUUGAGAGAAAAAUCUCUGGAUAUUAUCUGUGGAAAGAAGAGAACUGAAUGCUAGCUCCCUUGAGCAUGUAGAAAGAGAAAAUGUAGCUCUUAGAAAGAUCUGGACUUAAAUGAAACAAAGAAAUGGCCCAAGAAACUUAGCCCACAGCCUUUCCCUUGUAGGUCCACCAAAAAAACCCUCUCAUCCAUUCAGUAACAAACCCAGCAGAAAUGGGUGCAGCCGAGUUCGUGAUAGACUAGCGCUCCACUCAGCCUUUUCCUUCUAGAGGACACUUGACAAGUGAUGUCCUCAUGGCCCGCAAAUUCCCGUGACUACACACAAGGCUACUCUCAGUUGUCGGUGUGAUUUUUGGAAAUUUUUGGAAAUUCAGUUUUGCAAAUCAGGAUGCCAGUGAGUGGGAGGGAUGUUGCAUGGAUUUCCCUCAAAUUUAGUAGAUGCCAAAAAAGGCAACUUGGCGGCAAAACUUCACGAUGACUUCUCUCACACCAAGAUUUGGACACGUGUCGUUAUUCUCAAGAGUGUCGUUAUUCUCAAGAACCAACAGGUGGAAAGAGCCCAAAUGUCCACUGACUGAUGAAUGGAUGAACGGCACGUGAUACUCUAUCCAUGGAUACUACGCAGCAAUAAAAAGGAACAAAGUAGUAUGAAUGACUGAACCUCAAAAACGUUAUGCUAAGUGAAAGAAGCCAGACACAAAAGAACAUAUAUGAUUUCAUUUAUAUAGCAUGUCACAAAAAAAGCGAAUACAUAGAGAUAGAAAGUAGAUUAGUGGUUGCCCUGGGGCUGGGGGUUGCCCCGGGGCUGGGGGUUGCCCCGGGACUAGGGGUGGGAAUGGGAAUAACUCUAAAAGAGCACGAGGUCUCUCUUUAGGCUGCUGGAAAUGUUUUAAAAUUAGAUUUUGGUGAUGGUUAUAGAACUCUGCAAAUACAUGAAAAUUUAUUAAAGUGUACAUUUAAAAAUGAGAUAAUUUCAUGCUGUAUAAGUUAUAUCUCAAUAACAUGCUUUUAAAAAAAGAUUACUUGGAAGAAAAACUGGCUCAUGACAUUACUCAUAAGUGAUAGAGACUGGCCUGGCAUAUGUCUGCCAAAAUCCCUUACCUCCAAAGCUCUUCUCUGGCAUCUCCUGACACUUAACUCAGAAUUUUAAAAAUGCACCUUGUGUCUCCUCCUUUGUUGAUAGAAGUGUGGCACCAUCCCCUGUGACACAUUACCACAUUUUUGUAAAUAUAAUCAACCCCAUUACACUUGCAGGAUUGCUUGAAACUAAACAAUCUAUUCUAGAAGCAGAGAACAACACUGCGCAUGGGUUACUUUCAAGGACAAAAUACAAGAAACAAAAUGUAAACCAUGCUGUCAUAAUUUACCCAUUGUGUAUCCUUGGGGCAUUUUCCCCACCAGAAAAAAAAAAAAGGACAAUAUCUUCUGGGCAUUAAAGAUUGUUUAUAUUAAAGAAUAUUUCAUAUGUAUGAAAUGAGAACAUAAAGGUGAUAUUUCCUAUUGACACUCGGUUUGAAUAAUAUUGUGUUGCAAAUGACUUGAAAACUCAGUUUUAAUAAAUUUCUGUUACCAUACAUA